UACGAAGGGGGCUAGCGUUGCUCGGAAUCACUGGGCGUAAAGGGUGCGUAGGCGGGUCUUUAAGUCAGGGGUGAAAUCCUGGAGCUCAACUCCAGAACUGCCUUUGAUACUGAAGAUCUUGAGUUCGGGAGAGGUGAGUGGAACUGGGAGUGUAGAGGUGAAAUUCGUAGAUAUUCGCAAGAACACCAGUGGCGAAGGCGGCUCACUGGCCCGAUACUGACGCUGAGGCACGAAAGCGUGGGGAGCAAACAGG
rnacentral:rRNA from 1 species